GCGGUAAUUCAAGCUCCAAUAGCGUAUAUGUAAAUUGUUGCGGUUGAAAAGCUCGUAGUUGGACUUCUGGCGACUGCGUUCGGUCCGCCAAGCGCGUGCACUGUCCGCGGUCGUCGUCUCUGUCGACGUGGCGCGUCGGCCUUAGUUGGUCGGUGCGUCGUCUGUCGGCGAUGUUACUUUGAGGAAAUCAGAGUGCUCAAGGCAAGCGUUCGCUCGUGACUUCACUAGCAUGGAAUAACACAGAUGGGCUCUUUCUCGCACUGUUGGUCUGCGUCAAUUGAGCAACGAUCGAUAGAGACGGUCGGGGGCAUUCGUAUUGCGCAGUUAGAGGUGAAAUUCUCCGAUCUGCGCAAGACGUACUAAUGCGAAAGCAGUUGCCAAGGACGUCCUCUUAUGAUCAAGAGCGAAAGUCGGGGGAUCAAAGAUGAUUAGAUACCGUCGUAGUCCCGACCAUAAAUGAUGCCGACUGAGCUUCGGCGACUCGACCUCAGGUCGUACGUCGGCGCUCUUAGAGAAAUUAAAGUCUUUGGGCUCCGGGGGUAGUAUGGUCGCAAGUCUGAAACUUGAAGGAAUUGACGGAAGGGCAUCACAAGGCGUGGAUGUUGCGGCUUAAUUUGACUCAACACGGGAAAGCUUACUAGGUUUGGACACCUUUGUGAUGGACAGAUUGAAGCUCUUACCCUACUGCGUGGAUGGUGGUGCAUGGUCGUUCUCAGCCCGUGGGUUGACCUGUCAGGUUUACUCCGGUAACGCGCGAGACCUCGGUCUGCUAAAUAGACGCGGCUGUUUCGGCACCCGCGCUCUUCUUAGAGAGAGACUCGACGAGAGUCGAGGGAAGUCGAGGCAAUAACAGAUCUGUGAUGCCCUUAGUUAUCCUAGGUCGCACGCGCCAUACAAUGUGGCGCACAACGAGUCUCCUUGGCCGACAGGAUCUGGGCAAUCUGGCAGAGCGCUACGUGACUGGGCUAGACUUUUGUAAUUUUUGGUCUUGAACGAGGAAUGCCUAGUAAUCGCAGGUCAGCAUCCUGCGAUGAUUCGGUCCCUGCCCUUUGUACACACCGCCCGUCGCUCCAUCCGUGGCAUGCGCCGGUGAAGAGGGGGAGGCAGCGUCGGCCGGGUAACACCGGAUCGUACGUGGAACCCCUCUGAACCUUCGCACGUAGAGGAAGGAGAAGUCGUAACAAGGUUUUCGUAGGUGAACCUGCGAAAGGAUCAUUAUCGGCACA
rnacentral:rRNA from 1 species